GUGUAUUUAGUUAAGCAUGUUUCUGGUUUAUACAAAGCUUCUGAGGAAAAGUUAAGUAGUUAUACAAAGCAGAAGGGUUCUCCGACUUACGAUGGAUGAAUUGCGUGUCAUAAAAGCUUGGGUGCGAGUGUUCACCAGGAAAAAUUCGAUCGAAGUACAGAUUUUUCUCGAAUUCGAGGAUGAUAAUGUUAUUAUCAGCUGAUUAUAGAGGAGAAGUUUUGUCAGUGUCCGAUGGGUACAAACGUCAUAUUGUGGAGCCUGCAUGCAUCACUUUUGCAUCGCAGAAGUACAAGGGAACCAGGCAGUAACAAAGAUGAAAUAUGCUGUUGCUGAAAGAUCCAGUCAAGCACUAAACUGACUAAACUGACUUGAAUGAUC